GUGGGCUUAGCUCAGCUGGUUAGAGUGCCAGAUUGUGACUCUGGAGGUCAUGGGUUCGAUUCCCAUAGCUCACCCCA
rnacentral:tRNA from 1 species